UUGAAUUUUGUCAGUUUUUUUGACCGGUGUCAACUGGUUACAUCCCCAGCAUCAAUCACAAAAGAUUGACACUCCUGAAGAGAAGAAGAGGCUUUCAGAUGGGUUUCUUCUCUUCUUCUCUUCUCUUCUCUUCUAAAAGAAACCCCAUUCUCGUACCUACUUCUCCUUCAUCAACACCAACAGACUUUUCUUCAUCAUCGACACGAAGGGUUUCUGGUUCAGCUACUUCAUCAGCCACACCAAGGGAAUGUUUUCGGAGAUUUCAGAGUCAUUUACUUUUAUGGUCGUUUGCAUUAAGACAACGACAUGAAUGAGCCGGAGAUAAUCAACAUCGACAGUAGUGAUUCAAUGGUGGAGAAUGAUACCCCCACCACAAGUGCCAGGGGUCGCGGUCGUUGAUAUAGUCUUGAUAUAAGCGGGCUUCCCCAUCACUUACGUGAAUAUCUGCAAAGCCUACCCCCACCUACUCAUGGAGAUCUUGUACGCAUGGAGAAAGAAUACCUUGACGAGAUAGAUGCGGCCAACUUAGCUCUUGAUAAGGCGCAUUAGUAUAUACGUGUUCACGGAACGACGGCUGACGGAUUAGACAAAUUGGCCAAAGCUAUGGAGAUGAUGUGCCCACCUCUCCACAAGAUCUCCAACCUUUAUCAUAUCCAAGAAUAGGGAUCUAGGAGCAAUAUCCAUAUUAUGGAAACUUCCUUAUUUUGUGUUUAGUUUUUUUAAAAAGAAGAAGCAAUUUGUCUUUAUUAUUAUCAUUACCAAAGCAAUCUAAUCAUUCCUAUAAGAAAUGCAUUUUGGUUGAACUGGAGAAGAAGAUAUGUGAAUUCUUUGUGUCUGAAAUGUU